AUGGCGGCUAACGUAGUGCAAGCCCUGGCCGCUGUCCUCACACUGCUGGUGAUCACAAGAGCGCUAUGGUAUCUGCUUUGGAGGCCAUACGCUGUGGCCAGGUGGUUCGAGCAGCAGGGCAUCAGAGGUCCGCCUUACAAAUUCCUGGUUGGGUCCCUGCCCGACUGCCAAAGGAUGCUCGUUGCCGGGAGAGUCAAGGAUCUGGACACGAGCUCCCACGACUGCAUCACCACCGUGCAACCCUUCUUCCGGAAAUGGGCCUCACUGUAUGGAAAAACAUUCCUGUACUGGUUGGGACCGACACCAGCACUGUGUACUACAGACAUAGAAAUAGUGAAGAAAGUGUUAAGCGACAGGACAGACAUGUUCCAAAAAGAUUACUUGAAUCCCAGUUUGGAAGCAAUUCUAGGGAACGGGGUAAUAUUUGCAAACGGAGACGACUGGAAGCGGCGCCGCAAAUUCAUCCACCCGGCUUUCAGCCAAGAGAAGAUCAAGUCCAUGUCAGCAAUAACGUUGGAGUGCACACAGCAGAUGAUGGAACAGUGGCGCACUCAAAUGCAGGAGAGAACAUGCAGCAAGCCGAGAUCGACAUGA
rnacentral:rRNA from 1 species